CAUCGCCAGAUCCGAACCAAGCGAAGUGAAGGAAGACGGGUGUCCUUUUCGUACACUGAGUGUGGUGGGUGAGUCUUCAUGCUGUGAAAACCUAUAAUUUUGACGUGGUGCUGUAUAUUGCUGUGGGCUGCUGUGUAUUGCCGUGUGUCCUGUCAGAUAAACCCCCGCCUUCACGCACUUCGUCGCGGGAGGACAAGGAGACUGCUGGUCCUAGCCUAGUUCAGUACAGUAUAUGUUGUGAGCGUGCUUCAGAUCUCCGGAGAUAGCACAGUACGCUGUGUCCAGCCCAGAGGUGAAAGCCAUCCAAAGCAGAGUAACUGUGCUAUUGUGCCCAAGUUGAUACCUGUGGAGAGAAAAGGAGAGAGAGUGAAUAACACGAGGAGGAAUAGAGCGAACCCUGUACUUACAGUACGCUGUGUCCAGCCCAGAGUACGCUGUGUCCAGCCCAGAGGUGAGAGCCAUUCAAAGCAAACUAACUGUGCUAUUGUGCCCAAGUUGAUACCUGUGGAGAGAAAAGGAGAGAGAGUGGGUAACACGAGGAGAGACCGAGGAAACCUGUACUUACGCCGCUGCCUGUGGAGAAAGAGAAAGCGACCGUUGCCUGUGGAGGAAGAGAAAGAGAGUGAGCACCCCGAGAACGAACUGUGUGAACCAGUACUUACCGUGAGCUGUAUUCAGCGAAGAGGAGGAAGAAGGAGGGCGCUACGGAUACCUAAGACUCAGGCCGGGGCCCGAGUCCCACGCCCCGGAUCCCCGUGGCCCCCUUGCUCCCUGACCUCUUCCCGGCCAUAGCCCAUCUGGAGGGCCGAGUCAGAGUUUAGUUUUAAUUGCCCUUUUCCUAUUCCCCAAGCUAUUUUUAAAUAUUUAAAUAAAGAUUGUUUUAUCACUUACUUGUUCUCG
ensembl:lncRNA